rnacentral:rRNA from 1 species
UACGUAGGGUGCGAGCGUUAAUCGGAAUUACUGGGCGUAAAGUGUGCGCAGGCGGUCGCGCAAGUCGAGUGUGAAAGCCCCGAGCUUAACUUGGGAAUUGCGCUCGAAACUACGUGGCUGGAGUGUGGCAGAGGAAGGUGGAAUUCCAGGUGUAGCGGUGAAAUGCGUAGAGAUCGUAAGGAAGACCAGUGGCGAAGGCGGGUCUCUGGACAGUUCCUGACACUGAGGCACGAAGGCCAGGGGAGCAAACGGG